GGUAACCUGCCCAUCAGAAGGGGAUAACACUUGGAAACAGGUGCUAAUACCGUAUAACACUAUUUUCCGCAUGGAAGAAAGUUGAAAGGCGCUUUUGCGCCACUGAUGGAUGGACCCGCGGUGCAUUAGCUAGUUGGUGAGGUAACGGCUCACCAAGGCCACGAUGCAUAGCCGACCUGAGAGGGUGAUCGGCCACACUGGGACUGAGACACGGCCCAGACUCCUACGGGAGGCAGCAGUAGGGAAUCUUCGGCAAUGGACGAAAGUCUGACCGAGCAACGCCGCGUGAGUGAAGAAGGUUUUCGGAUCGUAAAACUCUGUUGUUAGAGAAGAACAAGGAUGAGAGUAGAACGUUCAUCCCUUGACGGUAUCUAACCAGAAAGCCACGGCUAACUACGUGCCAGCAGCCGCGGUAAUACGUAGGUGGCAAGCGUUGUCCGGAUUUAUUGGGCGUAAAGCGAGCGCAGGCGGUUUCUUAAGUCUGAUGUGAAAGCCCCCGGCUCAACCGGGGAGGGUCAUUGGAAACUGGGAGACUUGAGUGCAGAAGAGGAGAGUGGAAUUCCAUGUGUAGCGGUGAAAUGCGUAGAUAUAUGGAGGAACACCAGUGGCGAAGGCGGCUCUCUGGUCUGUAACUGACGCUGAGGCUCGAAAGCGUGGGGAGCGAACAGGAUUAGAUACCCUGGUAGUCCACGCCGUAAAC
rnacentral:rRNA from 1 species